ACACCUCCCAAAAUGCAGAGAAGGCAGGGUGGCUAGGAAUGGCUCUAGUAGAAUUCUCCCCUUAUCUUGUCUGGAAACAAGGGGCAAAGAGCUAUCUAUUUCCUCCUGCCAGCCUCCUGCCCCCAACAGGAUUCCUCACAUCCCAGGACCAGCUGGAAAAGGUGGUGAGAGUUGGAAAGAGACUGCUCAGUGAGGACUGCCCUGCGAACCAGCUUGGAUUCAUCCCGUUCACCUCCACGUUCUGCACUCGGGGCCGAGGGAAGGGAGGCAGCCCAGGCAGCUAGAGAACUUGAUGAAACACACUCAAUCUGAAUCUCGCUUGAUCGUCAUGCUGACCCAGUGAGGCCUCUCCAGCCCCUGCUGGGACCACUGGCCCAGGAGGAAGUCUGGGCUCUGGCUGCCACCUGCUUCCUCUCAGGAGUUCUUCUCCCUCCCAAGCAUGGAUUUGCAUUUCCCCCUCUGCCUUCUGCUACUCAAGCCCCCAGGGAUGAGGUGACAGUUAACCCCCCACUUCCUGCUAGUGGCCCCAGAGCGCUCACUUCCUUCCAGUCUACUCAGGGUCAGGCAUCCUUUCCGACUACUCACUCAGCAGCGGAUCCCCACCCGCCUCUGACUCCCAGUGUCUUUCGGCUCCAACGUAAGUUCACCGAACGUCUAAGAGCUGAGGAUUCAAAGGCAUGUAAGACCGCCCCUGCCCUCAGCUGCAAGACCUGUCCGCGAUCCUACGAGGUAAACGAUGGCCUCCUUCGGCUUCUCACUCCCCCUGCCACCUCUGAGUUCUGAGACUUAACUUUUCUCUUUACUGUCCCACAGCCCCAUUCCGCCCUCUUUCCCCGACCUUGGUCCCCCAUGGGCCCUACAACCAGGUCCCCGACUGACACCUUGACCAGCGAACACAGCAAACAGGCCCGCAGAUGCCGCAGGUCCUUCGGCACCGUCUCCAGGGCCAUCUUCGCCGAUGGGAAGAACAACAGGGAGAUAGACGACCACAGCCUGUGCACCCGCAGGAAGUAAAUAGCUCGUUACCCAGAAUGCCCACCACUUCCGGCGCUUAGACUUCCUCUUCCGGUGUGGGCGGACGCCAGCUCCGCCCCUACCCCCGCCAGAGGAGAUGGUUUCUCCCGCCAGCAGGCGGGGAGGCUGGGCGGCCGGCCGCCACCUGGGCCGGAGCGCGUCGCAGCCACCUGAGCCCGCCGAGGGCGCGGCGGAGGCUGUGUGGGGUAGUCAGCGGGCCCCCGGGGCGGGGGGGCGGCUGCGCUUGCGCGGGAGUGUGUCGGGCUGAGCCGCAGCGCCGAGACGCGGGCUGUUUGAUCUGGGCUGGUGGCCCUGGGCGUCGGUCCUGUUCCCCGAUGGUAACCCGAAGUUUGUUUUUUUUUGUUUUGUCUCCCCGUUUUAGAAGCAUUGGGGGCAGUGAAUCCACUGUCUCCCUCUGGAUUGUCUCUGCAGAGACCGAGAAGAAAUCCAGGGACAGCCCCACCCCUCCUUCCUAACUGCGAGAGCGCUAUAGGGUUUCCACUUGCUUCCCACAGGAAUGCUGGCCUGGGAGCUACGGCGGAAAAAAAUGCGUAUUUAUCUUUUAAAACUCCGUCUGUUUGCUCGUUCCGGCUGAUAAUUUAUACUUUGCGCAGUUCUUAGCGCUUAGACACGGUUCCUUUACUAAAGACCAUUUGUAGGAGAUUAGGUGUCCUUUUUUUCCCUUUCAUUUCACCGUCUAGGAAGCGAAAUGCCUUGUUCUAUAGGCACUAAACCACCACCCCUACCAAACCUUUCUCGGGGAAGCAGAAGGGGAACUUGUGCCUUGUGAGGAAGCGACAAAGGCCCCUUCUGGCCCUGGAGACUUCACGCCAAUGGAGCACCAGCUCUCUGUCCUCGCAAUAGCCCGAGUGCAGGCAGAACGCAGUCAUUUGUGUUUAUCUGAGAGGAGCUUUGGGAUAUAAAUAGUUUCAGGCCCCGCUGCGCUGUCAUUCCAGCCCAGCCUCCUGAUUGAGCUGCUUCCGGGCGGGCUUUCUUCUUGUUGGCGGUCCCAUGCUGUGUUCAGAUGGGCUCUGUGACAGGUUUGGAUGUUUUCUAUCACUGAAUAAAACUUUCCACUUUGGAACA
rnacentral:lncRNA from 1 species